AGUGAACGCUGGCGGUAGGCCUAACACAUGCAAGUCGAACGGCAGCACAGUAAGAGCUUGCUCUUACGGGUGGCGAGUGGCGGACGGGUGAGGAAUACAUCGGAAUCUACUUUUUCGUGGGGGAUAACGUAGGGAAACUUACGCUAAUACCGCAUACGACCUACGGGUGAAAGCAGGGGAUCUUCGGACCUUGCGCGAUUGAAUGAGCCGAUGUCGGAUUAGCUAGUUGGCGGGGUAAAGGCCCACCAAGGCGACGAUCCGUAGCUGGUCUGAGAGGAUGAUCAGCCACACUGGAACUGAGACACGGUCCAGACUCCUACGGGAGGCAGCAGUGGGGAAUAUUGGACAAUGGGCGCAAGCCUGAUCCAGCCAUACCGCGUGGGUGAAGAAGGCCUUCGGGUUGUAAAGCCCCUUUGUUGGGAAAGAAAAGCAGCAGGUUAAUACCCCGCUGUUCUGGCGGUACCCAAAGAAUAAGCACCGGCUAACUUCGUG
rnacentral:rRNA from 1 species